rnacentral:rRNA from 1 species
AUUGAACGCUGGCGGCGGGCCUAACACAUGCAAGUCGAACGACUGGCGGACGGGUGAGUAAUGUCUGGGAAACUGCCUGAUGGAGGGGGAUAACUACGGGAAACGGUAGCUAAUACCGCAUACCAUCAGAUUUGCCCAGAUGGGCUUGGCUAGUGGGUGGGGUAACGGCUCACCAAGGCGACGCUCCCUAGCUGGUCUGAGCGGCUGACCAGACACACGUGAACUGAGACAGGGGCCCGACGCUUACGGGAGGAGGCAGUGGGGAAUAUUGCACAAGGGGCGCAAGCCUGAUGCGGCCAUGCCGCGUGUAUGAAGAAGGCCUUGGGGUUGUAAAGUACUUUCAGCGGGGAGGCGUUACCCGCAGAAGAAGCACAGGCUAACUCCGUGCCAGCAGCCGCGGUAAUAC